AAAUAAAUUGAAAAUUUUAAUAAAACAAUUUUUUUUUUUACAUUUAACUCAAAGUUAUUUAUGAUAAUAUUAAAAAUUGAGGAUUUAAUUAUCACUUUACCAUAUAAAUAUUUUAAUUUAUCAUUAAACCUCAUAUAUAUACCUUUCAUAUCAUUUUAACAAAUGGGUACUCAAUUUUCCUAAUUAGUUAUUAUUAAAUCAGAUUAAUAUAAAAGGUAUUUUUCAGGUAAAUUGGCCUUAAUUCUCCGUGUAAAUCCGUAUAAAAGGUAGCUUUUUUACUUUACUAAUUUGAGCCCCAAUCUCCCGUCCUCGCCACCAUUGCUGUCAAGACCCACAACAGAGCUCUCAAUCUCCCACCCUCGCACACCACCAUGCUGUCAAGACCCACAACAGACGACACCACUUGCAAUCGCAAAUUUAUAACCGUUCCUAACAUGGGAGGGGGAGCAAUCUGAUUGCGAGGGGUUGUCUUGUCGACGCCGCCGAUGAAAUAUUCAGUCCACUUGACGAGUCACCACCGCCGACACCAAAGCUCCACCCUCUGGUAAUGCUCGAUUUUGAGGAAAAUCAGCUAGCAGAUAUUUAUGUACCCAACCAGAGCUUCAUGUAGGCUAGCUCCAUAUGUUCCUUUGGCAAAAGAGUUCAUACGUGCAUAUGGGAGGAGAAGUAGAGGAUGCUCCAUGUUAUUCAAAUUAAUGCUUUAGAAAGACAGGCGAUAUUUGAGAAGUAGUUCCCUUACAUUACAUUCAAAUGGAGUGGAAAUAAAGUUAUGCAAGCCAUUUCAUCUAAUAGGCAGUGAAAAAAAAACAAAGAACAAUUUGCUGCGAUGAAUCCAAUGAUCUCGCUCUUCGGUCGCAGCAACAAUUGAACCUUGCCAUUGUGAGAGGGUAUUUUCUUUUACCGUCUGUUUGGUUUCUGAGACAAUUGAGCAAAAGAAAAGAAAAGUGAAAGCGAGGUGGUUAGUAUUGGAUGAGUGGAGGGAGGGUUCCUUUUUCAUUUCCUACAUUUUCUCAGUAACCAAUUAUAUGAUUAAUUUGAUUUGAAAUUUUAUGCAUUUUGGUAUCUGAGUUUUAGAUUUUUCUCAAUCUAAGAGCUAGUUUCGUUUUAUUAGAUUUUCUCGAAAAGAUUAAAUCCAACUUGAGAGCUGAACCUAAUAUCAGAAUCACUUUUUUAAUUGUUGAAAGGAUUGAAAUUUUGUGCGAUGAAUUAAUAGCCGGUUCUUGCUCUUCCAUGUAUUCAAUUCUGUUUUGAAGAUGAGUUACUGCGUGUGUGUUUGUGGACAAUAUUUCUGGUUUGAGGUAAAUUAUUACAUGUCAAAACUAAUCUAGAUGUUCAAUAUUUCUAUGUUUAUGAUAGUUAUUUUGUUCUACUUCAAUUGAUCUUGUGUUUUCACUUAUAAUUGACUGACUUAUAUCCCAUUUAAUUUUCUGAAGCCUGGUUGAUCCAUUUCUAUGGUAGGCUAAGUUGUGGUGUGACUGCCCUUUCUGGCUAGAUGACUUGCGAGAUUCCUGUGUUUGUGAAUGCCUUGAAAGUGAGUUCCCUGAAUCAUUUAAGAAGCUCUUUAAUCAUGACUUUUCAUCAAAAGAUCUCAUUUAUCAAGAGGGAAAGCCGCAGGCUGUUGUCAACUGUACACUAGAUGCCAAAGCUUUCAAAGGCUGGGUAGAAGUAAACAAUAUGAUGAGACUGACAACGGUGGAUUCUUUUUAGUCAAUAACACUGUAUCUUUUUUGCUUUUAAGUUACUCUUAUGGUUUUGAUGGUUCAUUUUCAUUUGCAGCAGAGAUGACAUCUGAAUUAGUGUUGGGGUUCCUAAUCAGGGUUUAGGGCUGGCUAGGUUCUGACAUUUUUCUUGCUUCUGCUAUUUUUUUCCUUUAAAUCUAUCUCAGUUGAAGUUAUUUCCUUCUCUA